CAUAAAUCAAAUAAACAUAGAUUUCCGACUGUACGGUGACACUAACAGCACCUCUAGUGAGAAACGGGUGUACUUUUUUCCAUUAGCUACUGCGGUUUUGUUAAAUGCGCAGGCAAUUUUAUGCAUGCAUUUUAGGAGCAUUUACGCACCCAUUCUCCACCAGACGGUGCUUUUGCUGUCACGGGUUGCUCAACUACAUUAGUAUUACACUGGGAAAUCUAUGUUUAUUUGAUUUAUGAUUAAGUGCACUGUUGUUUAUCGAUUACAAAUAUUCUACAAAAUUACGGAAGCCUUUAAAUCGAUUAUUUUGAUUAUUCGAGUAAAAAAAUACAUCACUACCAUCACUACAUACUCAGGCAAAUUGAGUAGUGAAAAUCAUAAGGCAAACCUUAUGAUUCAUCAAAAAUCACCUAAAUCAUCAUUUCAUAAGAAUAUCAUGAAAAAUAUACCUCUGCAAAAUACAUCUCAUCUAUUGGGUUUUAAACGCAAAACUGUAUAUAGCAAUGCGGUAUAUAUGUUUCAUUGUAUAUAAUAAAAUACGAUGAUAGACAUUUUGCCAGAGGAAAAGUAAAGCUUGGAGACAAACUUUAUGAUAUAAUAAAGAUAACAGCAAUACAUCGUAAUGCAGAUCGACGGAAUGGAAACGGUAUUAAAAUUAGAACUAUCAAUAGUUGAUAUACUCGAUUACGUUGGAGAGUCAGUGCGACCGAUAAGAGAAGGUUAUGCUGUAUUUGCUGCAAAUCAUAUUGUUUGCAUUGGUUUCCGGAAAUAUAAUGCAUCUCAUAUAAACGUCAUGGCUUACGUUAGUCAAAGCUCUUACCCGGCUUGUCUUCUUCAUCUUGAAAGGUUCGGCAUGUUUGUUUGAAAUAUAGGCAUGUUUGAUUGAUGAACGAAACAGAGUGAAUAUUACCUAUUGUGAUUUCACUACAAGUAAAGAACAAUAUUACUUCGAAAACCAUAUCAAAUGUGACAUUGAUCAAUCUGUUGCUAUUUCAAUGAAACUAAGGACCAGAACACGAACAUUUGGAAGAUACACAGAUCCAUGCGCAUUACUGCAAGUAACUGCUAUAAGUUAUUCACUUACAUCAGUAAUAAGAAUUCAGACUGGAACAAAUAAAUUUCCCAGUAUUGGAACUUAAGAACGCUCAAUGUAACAUCAAUAAAAUACGGCAAGGAUGCUGAGCUGUUAGCAUUCGAUUGCUACAAAGUGAAACGUAAUCCACUAAUAAAACGAUGUGGUUUAAUAAUUUAUCCAUACGAAAGCUGGAUAGAUGGUUCUUCCGAUGGAGUAAACUCUUCGAAGCGUGUCAUUUUGGAAAUUAAAUGCCCGGGAGACGCUAAUUCAUCGCUUGAGGAAAUCAGUGUGACUAGAUAUAUUAAACGAUGUCCGAUCACUGGAGAUCUUAAGCUUCAUAAGCACCAUUUAUAUUACUGCCAGGUACAAAUCAACAUGUGGAUUUUAAACUGCGACACCUGUGAUUUGAGGACGACGACUUUGUAGUGAUAGAAGUUUCUUUCGAUAGCAGAUUUGUUUGCACGGUAGUAAACGCUCUGAAGAGUUUAUUCUUUGGGAAAAUGUUCUAAGAAUUGGUACACGAAAAUAAAUAACUAAG